GAAGCACCUUGCGCAGAUCGCUUCGGUGUGAAGCAAUAGGUGACUUAGUGGCGAACGGGUGAGUAACACGUGGGUGACCUGCCCCGAAGUGCGGCAUAACAGGGGGAAACUCCUGCUAAUCCCGCAUGUGCUCCCACCUCUUGUGGUGUGAGUAAAGAUUUAUCGCUUCGGGAUGGGCCCGCGGUCCAUCAGCUAGUUGGUAGGGUAAUGGCCUACCAAGGCUACGACGGAUAGCCGGCCUGAGAGGGUGAUCGGCCACAGGGGCACUGAGAUACGGGCCCCACUCCUACGGGAGGCAGCAGUUAGGAAUCUUCCACAAUGGGCGAAAGCCUGAUGGAGCGACGCCGCGUGAGGGAUGAAGGCCUUAGGGUUGUAAACCUCUAAAAGAGGGACGAUAAUGACGGUACCUCUUGAAUAGCACCGGCUAACUCCGUGCCAGCAGCCGCGGUAAUACGGAGGGUGCAAGCGUUAUCCGGAAUCACUGGGCGUAAAGGGCGCGUAGGCGGUCUGUUAAGUCCGAUGUUAAAUCCCGGGGCUUAACCCCGGAUAAGCGUUGGAUACUGGCAGGCUAGACGGUUGGAGAGGCGAGUGGAAUUACCAGUGUAGCGGUGGAAUGCGUAGAUACUGGUAGGAACACCCAUUGCGAAGGCAGCUCGCUGGACAACACGUGACGCUGAGGCGCGAAAGUGUGGGGAGCAAACCGGAUUAGAUACCCGGGUAGUCCACACCCUAAACGAUGCAUACUUGGUGUCGGCCCGUUGGGGUCGGCGCCGGAGCUAACGCGUUAAGUAUGCCGCCUG
rnacentral:rRNA from 1 species